AUGACAAGGUGCUUCAGACGUAAUUUAGAAUAACGAUUUUUGAGGAAAUUUGCCUGCAAAUUCAUUCUUGUAUCAUGGCAUAUGAUAUUUUGCAGUAGAUGAGGCAAUUUAUAUGAAGCAAAUGACAGUUAGUGUUUUAUAUUGAUAUCUCACCAAUGUGAACUCUUCCUGUUUUGUGUGUUUAUAUUAUAAAAUGUCGGUAGAUAUCCUUUAUUAGAUUCAGUUGUUGAUCAUUAGCAUCUUACUAUCUUCAGAGGAUACAUGUCUCCUGAGGAUACACUGGGUGGGAUAUUUUCUGAAAAGUCUGACGUGGUCAGCUUUGGAGUCUUGAUAUUGGAAAUUGUCUAUGGCAAGAAGAACAACAGUUUCUGUAAUGAUGAACAAUAUUUAAGCCUCCCUGCUUAUGCAUGGAAAUUGUGGUCUGAAAGCAAUGCUUUGAACUUGAUGGAUGAAGCAUUAGCCGACUAAUUUUCAUCAUCUCAGGUAAUGAGAUGUACUCAAAGCGCACUUCUUUGUGUUCAAGACCAAGCUGCAGAUAGGCCAACUACGGCAGCUGUAGUUUCCAUGCUGAGCGGCAAAGAAACAUUUCCACGACUCAAUGAACCAACUGUUCUGUUUCAAAUUGCUUUAAAAACACUGUUCAGAAGGAAAGAAGCUAUAUAUGUUGUACAAAUGAGAUGAGUAUGUCCCCAUUUGAAGGUGGAUAACUCCAUCCUUAAGCCCCUUCUAAUUAAAAGGGGAGGAUGCACUUUUUUAUGUAGACCAGGUGCAUUCAAAAUGGAUAGCUCACAGGCAUUCUGGGUUUGCUUUAAAACAACAUUUUCAGCAAAUGAGAGUAAAAUGAUGAGCCAUUCUGGUCUAUGUUCCAACAACAACCAAGAUUUUUAUUUUAUUUUUAUCAUUUUAU
rnacentral:misc_RNA from 1 species